rnacentral:misc_RNA from 1 species
UCGGAAGGUGCGGCUGGAUCACCUCCUUUCUAGGGAGACAUACACCGGGCCGAGAGCCUGGAUGUCACUUAGGUCGACACUUUGGCGAGUAAGUAGACGUAGCAUAUGCGCUAGCAGUACUUAUAACCUAACAUUGUUCGGUUUUGAGAGAUCUGUUAUCUACAAGAUAAUGAUUUCUUAUAAUAUUCAAUGGGCCUAUAGCUCAGCUGGUUAGAGCGCACGCCUGAUAAGCGUGAGGUCGGUGGUUCGAGUCCACCUAGGCCCACCAUUGAAACAUGGGGGCGUAGCUCAGUUGGGAGAGCACCUGCCUUGCAAGCAGGGGGUCAGGAGUUCAAAUCUCCUCGUCUCCACCAUUUAGUAUUUAAUACAUUAAAUACUAAACUGACUUAAGUUUAAGUCAACUACAAUUUAAUAGAUUUCGAUGGCUAUCUAGGCGCAUGAGAUGAACGACGUCGCCGCGUAAUGGUAAUUACGCAAGACAAGUGAAGCGAAUGCAACGACGAUAGACGCGAACUAUAUGAAUUGUUUGUUCUUUGAAAACUGCAUAGAAGAAUUAAUAUAUAUUUGUAAGGUCAUCUCUCAGAAUUUCUAAGUAGGUUGACCCGAGCACAUAGGAAAUAAUUCUCUGACUUAAUGGUGACGUACAUGAAAAUGUACGGCUACAAAAAACGACAAUGUAUCUAAUGCAUGUCAAUAUUAUCUCUCAUGUAUUCAAUCAUGAGAUUUUUGUUAGCAUUUGAUGCAUAUCUAGGAGCCUGAGCGAGAUGAAGCCGCCGCGUACUGUCGUACGUAAGGCAAAAUCGAGCGUGGGGCGACGACGAUAGGCGCACAUGCUAACGCAAAAUAAGUAAAGAUAAUAAGGGCGUACGGUGGAUGCCUUGGCGAUAUCAGCCGAAGAAGGACGCGGUAAGCUGCGAAAAGCUACGGAGAGGUGCAAGCAACCUUUGACCCGUAG